UUCCCGGUGGUCCAGUGGUUAAGACUCUGUGCUCCCAACGCAGGGGCCCCAGGUUUGACCCUAGGUCAGGAAA
rnacentral:tRNA from 1 species